GAUGAACGCUGACAGAAUGCUUAACACAUGCAAGUCAACUUGAAUUUGGGUUUUUACCUUAGGUUUGGGUGGCGGACGGGUGAGUAACGCGUAAAGAACUUGCCUCACAGCUAGGGACAACAUUUGGAAGCGAAUGCUAAUACCUAAUAUUAUGAUAAUAGGGCAUCCUAUAAUUAUGAAAGCUAUAAGCGCUGUGAGAGAGCUUUGCGUCCCAUUAGCUAGUUGGAGAGGUAACGGCUCACCAAGGCGAUGAUGGGUAGCCGGCCUGAGAGGGUGAUCGGCCACAAGGGGACUGAGACACGGCCCUUACUCCUACGGGAGGCAGCAGUGGGGAAUAUUGGACAAUGGACCGAGAGUCUGAUCCAGCAAUUCUGUGUGCACGAUGAAGUUUUUCGGAAUGUAAAGUGCUUUCAGUUGGGAAGAAACAAAUGACGGUACCAACAGAAGAAGUGACGGCUAAAUACGUG
rnacentral:rRNA from 1 species